GUGGGGAAUUUUGGACAAUGGGCGCAAGCCUGAUCCAGCAAUGCCGCGUGUGUGAAGAAGGCCUUCGGGUUGUAAAGCACUUUUGUCCGGAAAGAAAUGGCCUGGGUUAAUACCCCGGGUCGAUGACGGUACCGGAAGAAUAAGCACCGGCUAACUACGUGCCAGCAGCCGCGGUAAUACGUAGGGUGCGAGCGUUAAUCGGAAUUACUGGGCGUAAAGCGUGCGCAGGCGGCGAUGCAAGACAGAUGUGAAAUCCCCGGGCUCAACCUGGGAACUGCAUUUGUGACUGCAUGGCUAGAGUGCGUCAGAGGGGGGUGGAAUUCCGCGUGUAGCAGUGAAAUGCGUAGAGAUGCGGAGGAACACCGAUGGCGAAGGCAGCCCCCUGGGCCUGCACUGACGCUCAUGCACGAAAGCGUGGGGAGCAAACAGGAUUAGAAACCCGUGUAGUCC
rnacentral:rRNA from 1 species